UACGGGGGGGGCUAGCGUUGUUCGGAAUUACUGGGCGUAAAGGGCUCGUAGGUGGCCAACUAAGUCAUGCGUGAAAUCCCUCGGCUUAACCGGGGAACUGCGUCUGAGACUGGCGAGCUUGAGUGCAGGAGAGGAACGCGGAAUUCCAGGUGUAGCGGUGAAAUGCGUAGAUAUCUGGAGGAACACCGGUGGCGAAGGCGGCGUUCUGGACUGCAACUGACACUGAGAAACGAAAGCCAGGGGAGCAAACGGG
rnacentral:rRNA from 1 species